CAACUUUCGACAACGGAUCUCUUGGUUCUCCCAUCGAUGAAGAACGCAGCGAAACGCGAUAGGUAAUGUGAAUUGGAGAAUUCCGUGAAUCAUCGAAUCUUUGAAGGCACCUUGCGCUCGAUGGCAAUCCGUACAGCAUGCCUGUUUGAGUGCCAU
rnacentral:rRNA from 1 species